rfam:Lupinus angustifolius cultivar Tanjil chromosome LG10, whole genome shotgun sequence.
GCCGAGCUGGGUAACUCUUGCUUGUGACCCAAGUGGGGGCAUCAAGGUGAUAGAACAUGGCUAUGGUUUGUCUAGGUUGGGGUGGUAGCUGCACCAUGUUGGCCUGCCCGCUCCAAGUUGAGAGUUGAGACAUGAUGCUUGGGUGAAAGCUGAGGUGUCAUGUCUCUUAGACAAGAGGGAAAAGCGUGAGGCUGGCUUCACAGAGCAACGAACACCUCUGGCUCCUGGCAGUGGAGGGAUCACGGGCUGCUGCAUUACAAUCCCACAAUACCUAGUGGGCCAAAGUAUUUGAACCAUCACUUUU